rnacentral:rRNA from 1 species
GGCCGUGGUAUCUUAACCAUGCGAAGGUAGCGUAAUCAUUUGUCUUUUAAAUGAAGACCUGUAUGAAUGGCAAAACGAGGGCUUAACUGUCUCCCUUCCCCAGUCAAUGAAAUUGAUCUCCCCGUGCAGAGGCGGGGAUAUAACUAUAAGACGAGAAGACCCUGUGGAGCUUUAGACUUAGAAUAACCCUGUAAAAUGAACUUUAACACAAGCAUAAACUUAGCGAAACUUAUUUAAAUGUCUUUGGUUGGGGUGACCACGGGGCAAAACAUAACCCCCACGAAGAUUGGGGAGACAUCCCUAACACUAAGAGAUACCCCUCUAGUAACAAAAUUUUUGACUUUAAAAAUGAUCCGGUAUCACCGAUUAACGAACUCAGUUACCCCAGGGAUAACAGCGCAUCCCCUCC